rnacentral:rRNA from 1 species
UACGUAGGGUGCGAGCGUUAAUCGGAAUUACUGGGCGUAAAGCGCGCGCAGGCGGUCUUCCAAGUCAGUGGUGAAAGCCCGGAGCUCAACUCCGGAACUGCCAUUGAAACUGUUAGACUUGAGGAUGAGAGAGGUGAGUGGAAUUCCCAGUGUAGAGGUGAAAUUCGUAGAUAUUGGGAAGAACACCGGUGGCGAAGGCGGCUCACUGGCUCAUAUCUGACGCUCAGGCGCGACAGCGUGGGGAUCAAACAGG